UACGAAGGGGGCUAGCGUUGUUCGGAGUUACUGGGCGUAAAGGGCGCGUAGGCGGCGCACCAAGUCAGGCGUGAAAGCCCUGGGCUCAACCCGGGAAUUGCGCUUGAGACUGGUGUGCUUGAGUACGGGAGAGGAUAGUGGAAUUCCCAGUGUAGAGGUGAAAUUCGUAGAUAUUGGGAAGAACACCGGUGGCGAAGGCGGCUAUCUGGACCGUAACUGACGCUGAGGCGCGAAAGCGUGGGGAGCGAUCCGG
rnacentral:rRNA from 1 species